GCAACCAUUGCCAUGUGUGUAAACAAUAGGACACGUGUCAACAAUGUUUAAAAAAGACUUGAUAGGUAAAAUGCUAAUGGUUGCCAUGCUAACACAGAAAACAAGCUGAAAAGACAAAAGGCACGAUGACAGCUUUACAAGCAUUCUUCAUUUUUGUUGUGUACUAUGUCAAAUGAGAGUUGCCAAAACGCGAGUAUGAUAAAUGCUGCUACGCUAGCACACAGCAAGACAUCGACCCGAAAUGGCUUUCGAUUGUAUAAAGGCCUUUAUCAAGUAACGAUUUGAUUGAUUUUUUUUCCCUCCCUCCUCCCCAUUUGACUGUUUGUGUAAAAGAGAAGCUCAUGUUUGAUCUCAGCUCGUUGUAGCAGGCGCACACAUCACGGCCAAGAAGCCAAAAAGCUGCCAGACAAGGACGCUCUAAGCACAAUUGCUUACGACAGAAGGGCCGGCCGACAGUGUGGGCGUUUCAUUAAGUGCCUUUUGGCAAGCGCUCCUGUUGGCUGCGCUCCGCCAACGACCUGCAUCCCAAUUUUCUCUUUGAAGUGAUAACAAAGAGCUUCCAGCGUAAAAAGGCGGGCAGUCUUUUUGAUUUAGGUGUCGUCGGCUAUGUGUUUGCUUCUGACAAGAAGGAGAAGCGGGUGAAAGACUGCUAUGUUACCUUGUCGCUCUAUCUGGCGGCUUCACUAUUUGUGAUCAAAAUUUAAGAAUGCUACCAUGUGUUUGUGUACAAGAAAAAGAAAGGUGACCAACUCUUAAUCAAGAAAGAACUAAUGUGGGUCUAUGAAGGAGCAAUUAAUUAACAUGUAUACUUCUUUGUUAGCUACUCCACCUAACCGUCAGUUAGCUAUUUGUGCAUCAAAAGGCAAAAUGUCGUGUGGUUGUCUAAAGGAAGUAAGACGACCAACUUUUUGUACCCAAAGGUAAUUUUUAUGUGCUUUUUGACAGAAAGGGGGACUGAGUGACGACAUAGGCUGCUUGCUAACAGUGUCUCGCAAGAGCUGUCUGCUAGCUAUUUGUGAUCACAAGGUCCGGAAGGUGACAUCUGAACCGGAACUUGAAAGACUUCUGACCUUCCACGUGAGAUCCAGCUGACAUUUGGGCCGAGGACACGUAGGACCAUAGUUCACCCACCGUGACGCUUCAUGUCAACACCUGCCAAGAGAGCAGAUGUCAUUUAAUGCCGACGCAGCCCAGCUCCACACAAGAAGAAGAAGAAAUGCAAAAGCCCUUCACAUCAAAGGAUAAAUCUGAUUUCAGGUUUACAACGGUAGACAUGGCCAAGUGGUUAAGAUCGUCACCUGCCACCAGCGGGGGGGGGGACCUGGUUCGAAUACCAGCCCCCCCAGACAGACUGUUGCGGUGUCCUUGAGCAAGGCACUGAGACCCCAAGUGGCUCCCUGGGUACAUAAGCAUCAUCGUUUCUUCUUCAAAUGGUGGUCAGAACACAACUGUCAUUUCAAGUGCCUCUGAUUAACUCCAAAUAAAUUAAAACACUA